rnacentral:rRNA from 1 species
GACGAACGCUGGCGGCGUGCCUAAUACAUGCAAGUCGAACGCAGUGGGGACGGGUGAGUAACACGUGGGUAACCUCCCCUCAGAGGGGAUAACACUUGGAAACAGGUGCUAAACCGAUACUGAUGGAUGGACCCGCUGUGCAUUAGCUUGUUGGUGAGGUAACGGCUCACCAAGGCAAGGAUGCAUAACCGAGCGGGGAGGGUGUUCGGCCACACUGUGACUGAGACACGGUCCAGACUACUACGUGAGGCAGGAGAGGGGAAUAUUGCACAAUGGGCGCAACCCUGAUGCAGCCAUGCCGCGUGUAUGAAGAAGGCCAUCGGGUUGGAAAGUUCAUUCAGCGGGGAGUCGGUACCCGCAGAAGAAGGACCGGCUAACUCCGUGCCAGCAGCCGCGGUAAUAC